CUUGUUGGUGGGGUAACGGCCUACCAAGGCGACGACGGGUAGCCGGCCUGAGAGGGCGACCGGCCACACUGGGACUGAGACACGGCCCAGACUCCUACGGGAGGCAGCAGUGGGGAAUAUUGCGCAAUGGGCGAAAGCCUGACGCAGCGACGCCGCGUGGGGGAUGAAGGCCUUCGGGUUGUAAACCCCUUUCAGCAGGGACGAAGCGAAAGUGACGGUACCUGCAGAAGAAGCGCCGGCUAACUACGUGCCAGCAGCCGCGGUAACACGUAGGGCGCAAGCGUUGUCCGGAAUUAUUGGGCGUAAAGAGCUCGUAGGCGGUCUGUUGCGCCCGCUGUGAAAACUCGGGGCUUAACCCCGAGCCUGCAGUGGAUACGGGCAGACUAGAGGUAGGUAGGGGAGAAUGGAAUUCCCGGUGUAGCGGUGAAAUGCGCAGAUAUCGGGAGGAACACCGGUGGCGAAGGCGGUUCUCUGGGCCUUACCUGACGCUGAGGAGCGAAAGCGUGGGGAGCGAACAGGAUUAGAUACCCUGGUAGUCCACGCCGUAAACGUUGGGCGCUAGGUGUGGGAUCCUUCCACGGAUUCCGUGCCGCAGCUAACGCAUUAAGCGCCCCGCCUGGGGAGUACGGCCGCAAGGCUAAAACUCAAAGGAAUUGACG
rnacentral:rRNA from 1 species